GACGAACGCUGGCGGCGUGCUUAACACAUGCAAGUCGAACGGAAAGGCCCUUCGGGGUACUCGAGUGGCGAACGGGUGAGUAACACGUGGGUGAUCUGCCCUGCACUUUGGGAUAAGCCUGGGAAACUGGGUCUAAUACCGGAUAGGACCACGGCAUGCAUGUGCUGUGGUGGAAAGCUUUUGCGGUGUGGGAUGGGCCCGCGGCCUAUCAGCUUGUUGGUGAGGUUACGGCUCACCAAGGCGACGACGGGUAGCCGGCCUGAGAGGGUGUCCGGCCACACUGGGACUGAGAUACGGCCCAGACUCCUACGGGAGGCAGCAGUGGGGAAUAUUGCACAAUGGGCGCAAGCCUGAUGCAGCGACGCCGCGUGAGGGAUGACGGCCUUCGGGUUGUAAACCUCUUUCGCCAGGGACGAAGCGCAAGUGACGGUACCUGGAGAAGAAGCACCGGCCAACUACGUGCCAGCAGCCGCGGUAAUACGUAGGGUGCGAGCGUUGUCCGGAAUUACUGGGCGUAAAGAGCUCGUAGGUGGUUUGUCGCGUUGUUCGUGAAAACUCACAGCUUAACUGUGGGCGUGCGGGCGAUACGGGCAGACUGGAGUACUGCAGGGGAGACUGGAAUUCCUGGUGUAGCGGUGGAAUGCGCAGAUAUCAGGAGGAACACCGGUGGCGAAGGCGGGUCUCUGGGCAGUAACUGACGCUGAGGAGCGAAAGCGUGGGGAGCGAACAGGAUUAGAUACCCUGGUAGUCCACGCCGUAAACGGUGGGUACUAGGUGUGGGUUUCCUUCCUUGGGAUCCGUGCCGUAGCUAACGCAUUAAGUACCCCGCCUGGGGAGUACGGCCGCAAGGCUAAAACUCAAAGGAAUUGACGGGGGCCCGCACAAGCGGCGGAGCAUGUGGAUUAAUUCGAUGCAACGCGAAGAACCUUACCUGGGUUUGACAUGCACAGGACGCCGGCAGAGAUGUCGGUUCCCUUGUGGCCUGUGUGCAGGUGGUGCAUGGCUGUCGUCAGCUCGUGUCGUGAGAUGUUGGGUUAAGUCCCGCAACGAGCGCAACCCUUGUCUCAUGUUGCCAGCACGUAAUGGUGGGGACUCGUGAGAGACUGCCGGGGUCAACUCGGAGGAAGGUGGGGAUGACGUCAAGUCAUCAUGCCCCUUAUGUCCAGGGCUUCACACAUGCUACAAUGGCCGGUACAAAGGGCUGCGAUGCCGUGAGGUGGAGCGAAUCCUUUCAAAGCCGGUCUCAGUUCGGAUCGGGGUCUGCAACUCGACCCCGUGAAGUCGGAGUCGCUAGUAAUCGCAGAUCAGCAACGCUGCGGUGAAUACGUUCCCGGGCCU
rnacentral:rRNA from 1 species